AGAGAGAGAGGGAGAGAGAGAGAAGCCUUGUUUUAAGGCUUCUGGUCUUUGUUGCUGGCGCUUUGAUGGUGUGACUGAUACAUACCUCUCUGUUUUCUUUAAUAAUGGCGCACUGGCCCAUCGUGUGAAAUUACGUGUUUGCCCUCGUUGAGUCUUCCCUGUUUAUUACCCCUCUCAAAUUUCCUUUUCAGGAAAACGUCAAGUUUUCACACACAUCCCCAUUUUGCCUGCGACGUGGCCAAUAGGAAAUCUUCGCACCAUCAAAAAAUCAAAUCCAAUUCUUUUCUUUGCAGGGGUAUUAUUGUAAUUUUACAUUGCAUAUUAUAGGUUUCCAUGUUGUGUUUAUAUUUAUGAAUGAAUUUCAUCAAACGAGCUUCCAUCAUCCAUGUUUUGUUAAUCACGAAAACUCAAAUCUUUAAUUUUGUGGGAAUCGACAAUAGACUUGUGAUUGAUGUUACCUAUUACUCAAAAUUACAUUUAAUCAUAAUGGACGCGUAUUGAAUGUUCCGAUUUAAAUCUAUAUUUGAUUGUGUAAUUAUAUUUUGAUGGUAUCUUGUUAAUAUAGUAGGAAAAAAUACAAAGGCGUAUCCGACGAAAAUGAGGCCUAAUUUUAUAGAAUGAGGCAUAUUAAGCAGAAUUAAUGCAAAUAAAGAAAACAUUGAAACUUUGGAUAUUGCAAAAAAAAAAUUAAAGAUUCUAGAAUGAGGCCUAAUUUUAUAAUUUUUUUUUUUUUGAAGCAAGGCCUAAUUUUAUAAUUUGAAUGGCAAUUAAAACUAAAUAAUAGGUCCGAUCCAAACCCGUAUAUUUUUGCAAAUGAUGCCUAUACAAAAAUCNGGGGAGGGAAGGUUCUUUUCUUUGCUGUGUGAAAAAACUCUGACCGAAGCAAAGGCCGAAUAAGCCCACAUAAUUCGGGAAAAAAAUUAAAAUACAUAGCUGUUUUAGAAAGGCAGUGAAGUUGAUGAUGAAGAUGGGGAUUUUUGGGGGGUUGGGUUGCAGAAGGGCAAUUGUGGCACACACAAUUCUCUCUCUCUCUCUCUCUCUCUCUCUGCUUUAUUUUGGUGCUGUGUGAUGUGGGUUUUUGGUUUAUUGUUGGGAAAACGUUUGAAGUGAAGACAUUUCCUGAUUCUCUCUCUCUCUCUAGAAUUCUGGUUUGCUGUCUCUCCACCUGGUGAAGGUCCGUGAAUGAGACGACGUAGGCACACAAUGUAGAGCUUGACAUAGUGAGAGGAGAGAGAAAGGAAGGGGAAAUAUGAGAGAGAGAGAGAGAGAGAGGGAGAGAGAGAGAAGCCUUGUUUUAAGGCUUCUGGUCUUUGUUGCUGGCGCUUUGAUGGUGUGACUGAUACAUACCUCUCUGUUUUUCUUUAAUAAUGGCGCACUGGCCCCAUCGUGUGAAAUUACGUGUUUGCCCUCGUCGAGUCUUCCCUGUUUAUUACCCCUCUCAAAUUUCCUUUUCAGGAAAACGUCAAGUUUUCACACACAUCCCCAUUUUGCCUGCGACGUGGCCAAUAGGAAAUCUUCACACCAACAAAAACUCCAAAUCCAAUUCUUUUCUUUUCUUUUCUUUUCUAAUCUUUGCA
rnacentral:lncRNA from 1 species